GAUCGGACAAAGGGGAAAUGAACGAAAGCAGACGAACGGAGAGAGGGAAGCACGAAGGCUUGCAGGCUUGAUGUUUCAUCGAUCGGUCGCGAGAAGGAUCGUCUCCGAGGGUCGAUGAGGCCGAAGGGACGGAAGGGUGAAGCAGCGAGGCUGAUGUGGAGUUGGCGAAAGGAAGUGGAAAUGAGGUGGAAGAGAACAAUGCGAGGGGAGAUGCGAGGGACAAAGGAGGUCCGAUGGGAGUCCGGUCGACAACAAUACGUCGCAGGUGAGGGCUUCGGUGGGUUUUGCUCGACCGGAGGAGGUGUGGGAUGCGAUGGGGAAAACGAUCAACAACAGCACCGCAGAUGGUAGGAUUUGGCAGUGAAGGUUGACGGGAAAGGAGGGAUGGAGGGGAUAGCCGAUCUCCGGCGACUCCCUUCCGCUGUUUCCUCUUCUUUUUGCCGGCAGUGGAGUGGUGCAGCAACAGCAGUGGUCGAAGGGGUUUUGGCUUGGUAUUGUUCGAUAAUCACAGGAGAAAGAACGAAGACAUCAGUGGGUUUUUUUUUUUUUUUUUUUUGAUUUGUUGUGAUCGACGAGAAGGGAGGAAAAGAAACGAGGCGGUUCUUGUUUGCAGGGAGUCAGGAGAACAAAAACAAAAGUGUUCUUGACUGGUAAUGGAGAUGCAGGUUAUGUUUGAGUGUGGUCUUGGUUGAAGGAAGAGUGAGCAAGCUUGAGAAAGGCCUACAUAUUUCUUUUGUGUGUAAUUUUAGAUGUUUAAGAAUUAAUAGCUGUCAUUUACGUAUAAUAUGUGUAUUUUGUGUGAAAUUUGUAAAUAAUCAAUUUUCCCAA